UGAGGAUUUCUUGAGGAUGAAGGCUUUACAACAGCAGCAGCAACAGAGGUUUGCUGCUGCCUCUCUUAUGGCUUCUGGUGCUCAUCACCAUCCAAUUGCUUACAACAAAUGCAUCAACAUCUUGAAUGAUAACCAAAGAUCAGCUGCUGCGACAUUUAUGAUGGGUGAAGAAUUCCACAAAUUCGGUAGGUGCCGUCCUGAUAGAAAUGAUUUUUCAGCAAUGGCGUUGGGUGGCAUCUCAAGUUCAAGUUCACGACAAAUUUACCUAACAUUUCCUGCGGAUAGCACAUUUAAGGAGGAGGAUGUGUCUAACUACUUUAGUAUGUAUGGGCCUGUCCAAGAUGUUAGAAUUCCAUAUCAGCAGAAGCGAAUG
rnacentral:misc_RNA from 1 species